rnacentral:rRNA from 1 species
UACGUACGAGGCGAGCGUUAUCCGGAAUUACUGGGCGUAAAGCGCGCGCAGGCGGUUCUACAAGUCAGUGGUGAAAGCCCGGAGCUCAACUCCGGAACUGCCAUUGAAACUGCAGAACUGAGGAUGAGAGAGGUGAGUGGAAUUCCCAGUGUAGAGGUGAAAUUCGUAGAUAUUGGGAAGAACACCGAUGGCGAAGGCAGCCCCCUGGGUCAAGAUUGACGCUCAUGCACGAA